rnacentral:rRNA from 1 species
ACAUGCCUCCAACAUAGCGUUAAUGCACUGGAUCCCAUUAGAACUCCACAGUUAAGCGCACUCAGGAUAGAGUAAUACCGGGAUGGGUGAUCGCUUGGGAAGUAUUAGUGUUUUACAUGCC